rnacentral:rRNA from 1 species
AUGAAGAACGCAGCGAAAUGCGAUACGUAGUGUGAAUUGCAGAAUUCCGCGAAUCAUCGAGUCUUUGAACGCAAGUUGCGCCCGAGGCUUGUCCGAGGGCAUUUCCGCUAGAGCGUCACCGCGCCCCCCACCGAUCCACUCUCGCCGCGAGGCGCGAGUCGGGUCGAGUGCAUGUGGCCGUCCCGGCGAAGCGGCCUUCUUUCACGAGGAGGCCGUACUUGGAAGGGUCGGCUGAAAUGGAUGGAAUGGAGCCGCCGUGGUGACACAGUCCGCGAUCGGGUGAUUUUGUCGCGAGCCUCCUCCGGGAGGCUCUUGGUGAAUUUUUCUAAGUGCUUGGCUGCGUCCCCCAGUUGGCUUCGGUUACCUCAUGCAGGUCGAGCGCGCCCCCGCGGCGCGCGUCACGCAUCAGACCUCUAAUCGGAAAAGACUACCCGCUGAGUUUAAGCAUAUCAAUAAGC